rnacentral:tRNA from 1 species
GCCGGCUUAGCUCAGUUGGUAGAGCAACUGAUUUGUAAUCAGUAGGUCGCGA